rnacentral:rRNA from 1 species
GAACGCUAGCGGCAGGCCUAACACAUGCAAGUCGAGGGGUAGAGUGCUUCGGCACUUGAGACCGGCGCACGGGUGCGUAACACGUGUACAAUCUACCUUUUGCUAAGGGAUAGCCCGAAGAAAUUUGGAUUAAUACCUUAUAGUAUUGUUUGGUGGCAUCACUGAAUAAUUAAAGCUCUGGUGGCAAAAGAUGAGUACGCGUCCCAUUAGCUAGUUGGUGUGGUAACGGCAUACCAAGGCUACGAUGGGUAGGGGUCCUGAGAGGGAGGUCCCCCACACUGGUACUGAGACACGGACCAGACUCCUACGGGAGGCAGCAGUGAGGAAUAUUGGACAAUGGUCGGAAGACUGAUCCAGCCAUGCCGCGUGCAGGAUGACGGCCUUAUGGGUUGUAAACUGCUUUUAUACAGGAAGAAUAAGGUCUACGAGUAGAUUGAUGACGGUACUGUAUGAAUAAGCAUCGGCUAACUCCGUGCCAGCAGCCGCGGUAAUACGGAGGAUGCGAGCGUUAUCCGGAAUCAUUGGGUUUAAAGGGUCCGUAGGCGGGCUUAUAAGUCAGAGGUGAAAGCACUGAGCUCAACUGAGUAMCUGCCUUUGAAACUGUAGGUCUUGAAUGUUUGUGAAGUAGCUGGAAUGUGUAGUGUAGCGGUGAAAUGCAUAG